rnacentral:lncRNA from 1 species
CCGGGAGACUCAUAGACUCUCUCUUCCUCCUCUUCUUCUUCAAAACCGGGGACAUUCCCCUUCUUCCUUCCCUUCCUCUCAAACACGGCAGGGAGAGGCCAGCGACUAUUCAUCCACAGUGGUGUCCGACGAGGGUGAAGGCCCCGAUUAUAGCCACGGCCGACGUUGGUUGGUGAAGCCAAAACAAGGGAAAGAAGGUGCAGAACAAGGGAGACCCUGUGCAGGCC